GAAUUGCGAUAAGUAAUGUGAAUUGCAGAAUUCAGUGAAUCAUCGAAUCUUUGAACGCACCUUGCGCUCCCUGGUAUUCCUAGGAGCAUGCCUGUUUGAGUGUCAUGAAUUCCUCAAACCCCAAUGUUUUGCAAAAUUCAUUGCUUGGGUUUGGUUGUGGGCCUAUAUUGCUGCUUCACGGCAGCUGGCCUUAAAGAUAUUAGCUGGACUCUCCGAGACUCUUGGAUAGUUCCACUUGAUGUGAUAAAUUUGCAUCGGUGGGUCAAGACUAUGCUUGGGAAGUGUGAGAAGUCUGCUUCUAAUCCGGCGAGAGGUUCCAUCCUCGACCCAAUUCAUUUACAACUCUGGCCUCAAAUCAGGUAGGACUACCCGCUGAACUUAA
rnacentral:misc_RNA from 1 species